ACCGUGCUAAGGUAGCAUAAUCAUUUGCCUCUUAAUUGGUGGCUAGUAUGAAUGGACACACGCAAGCGCUGCUGUCUCAUUAAUAUAAAUAAAAAUUAACCUUCAAGUGAAGAGACUUGAAUAAAAUAAAAAGACAAAAAGACCCUAUGGAGCUUUAUUCAACCGCCCUGCAAUCUAAUAUUUAUAAAAUUUACUACAGCGCUAAUGAAUUCAGUUGGGGCGACUAAGGAAAACAAUAAAUCUUCCUUCACAUAAAGAAAAUAAUUCUCUCAAAGAUCCGCUAUGCGAAUACAGAUCCAGCUACCCUAGGGAUAACAGGCUAAUUCUUCUCGAGAGCCCAAAUUGACAGAAGAGAUUGGCACCUCG
rnacentral:rRNA from 1 species